rnacentral:misc_RNA from 3 species
AACGCACAUUGCGCCCUUUGGUAUUCCUUAGGGCAUGCCUGUUCGAGCGUCAUUUAAACCUUCAAGCUCAGCUUGGUGUUGGGUGACUGUCCGCCGCCCCCGGGCGCGUGGACUCGCCUCAAAAUUAUUGGCGGCCGGUACAUUGGCUUCGAGCGCAGCAGAAACGCGAACUCGGGCCCGUCGUAUUGGCUCCCAGAAGCUAUCUUCACAAUUUUGACCUCGGAUCAGGUAGGGAUACCCGCUGAACUUAA